rnacentral:rRNA from 1 species
UACGGAGGGUGCAAGCGUUACUCGGAAUUACUGGGCGUAAAGCGUGCGCAGGCGGUUUGUUAAGUCUGUUGUGAAAUCCUCGAGCUCAACUUGGGAAUUGCAAUGGAUACUGGCAGGCUGGAGUAUGGUAGAGGAAGGUGGAAUUCCCGGUGUAGCAGUGAAAUGCGUAGAGAUCGGGAGGAACACCAGUGGCGAAGGCGGCCUUCUGGACCAAUACUGACGCUCAUGCACGAAAGCGUGGGGAGCAAACAGG